GUCCACGCCCUAAACGAUGAUGACUAGUUGUUGGAGGAGUUAAAUCCUUUAGUAACGCAGCUAACGCGUGAAGUCAUCCGCCUGGGGAGUACGGUCGCAAGAUUAAAACUCAAAGGAAUUGACGGGGGCCCGCACAAGCGGUGGAUGAUGUGGUUUAAUUCGAUGCAACGCGAAAAACCUUACCUACCCUUGACAUGCUAGGAACGCUGCAGAGAUGCAGCGGUGCCCGAAAGGGAACCUAGACACAGGUGCUGCAUGGCUGUCGU
rnacentral:rRNA from 1 species